GUGCUCGCUUCGGCAGCACAUAUACUAAAAUUGGAACGAUACAGAGAAGAUUAGCAUGGCCCCUGCACUAGGAAUGCCUGGAUGGCUCAGUGGUUAAGUGUCUGCCU
rnacentral:snRNA from 1 species